rnacentral:rRNA from 1 species
AACGAACGCUGGCGGCAUGCCUAACACAUGCAAGUCGAACGAGACCUUCGGGUCUAGUUGCGCACGUGUGCGUAACGCGUGGGAACCUGCCCUUAGGUUCGGAAUAACUCCCCGAAAGGUGUGCUAAUACCGGUUAAUGUCUUCGGACCAAAGAUUUCUCGCCUUUGGAUGGGCCCGCGUUGGUUUAGCUAGUUGGUAGGGUAAAAGCCUACCAAGGCGACGAUCCAUAGCUGGUCUGAGAGGAUGAUAAGCCACACUGGGACUGAGACACGGCCCAGACUCCUACGGAAGGCAGCAGUGGGGAAUAUUGGACAAUGGGCGAAAGCCUGAUCAAGCAAUGCCGCGUGAGUGAUGAAGGCCUUAGGGUUGUAAAGCUCUUUUACACGGGAUGAUAAUGACAGUACCGGGAGAAGAAGCUCCGGCUAACUCCGUG